rnacentral:tRNA from 1 species
GCCGCGGUGGUGGAACUGGUAGACACACCAUCUUGAGGGGGUGGCGCCGAGAGGCAUGCGAGUUCGAGUCUCGCCCGCGGCACCA